rnacentral:rRNA from 1 species
GAUCAUGGCUCAGGAUGAACGCUAGCGACAGGCCUAACACAUGCAAGUCGAGGGGCAGCGAAGAGGUAGCAAUACCUUUGUCGGCGACCGGCGCACGGGUGAGUAACACGUAUGCAAUCCACCUGUAACAGGGGGAUAACCCGGAGAAAUCCGGACUAAUACCCCAUAAUAUGGGCGCUCCGCAUGGAGAGCCCAUUAAAAGGAGAGCAAUUUUGGUUACAGAUGAGCAUGCGCU